rnacentral:rRNA from 1 species
AUUGAACGCUGUCGGCAGGACUAACACAUGCAAGACGAGCGGAGCGGAGGACGGGUGAGUAAUGCCUAGGAAUCUGCCUGGUAGUGGGGGAUAACGUCCGGAAACGGGCGCUAAUACCGCAUACUAUCAGAAGAGCCUAGGGCGGUUUAGAUAGUUGGUGGGGUAAAGGCCUACCAAGGCGACGAUCCGUAACUGGUCUGAGAGGAUGAUCAGCCACACUGGAACUGAGACACGGUCCAGACUCCUACGGGAGGCAGCAGUGGGGAAUAUUGGACAAUGGGCGAAAGCCUGAUCCAGCCAUGCCGCGUGUGUGAAGAAGGUCUUCGGAUUGUAAAGCACUUUAAGUUGGGAGGCGUUACCAACAGAAUAAGCACCGGCUAACUUCGUGCCAGCCGCCGCGGUAAUAC